GCGACCUCAGUUCGGAUUGAAGGCUGAAAUUCGCCUUCAUGAAGUCGGAAUUGCUAGUAAUGGCAGGUCAGCAUACUGCCGUGAAUACGUUCCCGGGCCUUGUACACACCGCCCGUCACACCAUGAGAGUUGGAGAUACCCGAAGCCUAUGAGCUAACUUUUAGAGGCAGUAGUCGAAGGUAGAAUCAAUGAUUGGGGUGAAGUCGUAACAAGGUAUC
rnacentral:rRNA from 1 species